GUCCACCAAAAGAUGUCAAACCAAAUCCAGCCUAUUGUAAAGCUCUGGGACCUCCCUUCCAAGGACACCGAACACAAGCUUAGACACCGCUGCGAAAAGCUGUCCAAAAGCGCCUGGCCGGACAGAAAUGGUUGCCGUGCAGGGAGUGUCAGCCACGUCUAGCGCACAGUCCCAGGCCCCAGGGCGAAGGCGGCCAGGGGAAAUGGGGCUCAGGGAUUGCUAAGCAAACGCAUCACUGGUGGUCUCCAGCGCCUGCGGAGUAUCUUUUGCUGCCUCUUACGUAUUGUAGGCAGUGCCUGAUGGCUGAGAAGAAUCGCAGAGGACUAGAAAAGGUUUGAGUCUGAAAUUAUCUGGCACAGAGGAUUAAAGCUCAGAAAUAAGUGAUUGCGAAACAGUUCAACUUCCCUGUUAAUGACAACAACAACAGCAACACGCUUAUUAAUUCCUAGCUGGAGCAUCAAGCUUAUGAAGAUUUCCAAGACUUUAUUGUUGACCCUUGUUGAAGAGAACUCUACUUGGCUUCUUUCCUGGCUUUCCUAAAUUGUUCACAUACAAGAUAAACUACCGUCAUUCAGACUUACAGAAGUGAGAAGACAAGCUGAACCAAAUGUAAAAUGGUAGCAAUUUACAGAUGUCAGAACUAACAUGUGGAUGAACUUAGAGAUGGAGAAGAAAGCUGGGCUUUUCCAAAGAGUGGAUCUAUCUGAACUGGAUAGCACUAUUGAACUUUGUUGCAUAUUUUGUGGUAGCUCUAAAACUCCUCUGCUUGCUUACAUACAACCAGACACCAGUGCCUUCUGAAGCUAAUCCAGGCCAUUUUUAUAACCUAAUGCAGUAGCACUUUGCAAUUAGAUGAAGAAGAUCGGUGGGAUUUCUUUCUGUGGUGAUUAAAAUGUGUCAGGGGAAGAAAUCAAGACAAUACUCCAAGUGAAAAAUAUAAAGUCAGUUAUUUCUUUAAUAUUUUGUGUUAUAGUAAUCAUUUUUAUAUUUUGAGCAUACUUUUUCUUGUCUACUUAAAUACUCAAAAUUAAUUAUAAAAUGUAAAUGUAAGCACAAUGAGAUACCAUCUCAUCCCAGUUAAAAUGGCUUUUAUCAAAAAGAUAGGGAAUAAUGAAUACUGGUGGAAGGAUGUGGAGAAUGGGGAACCCUCGUACACUGUCAAUGAGAAUGUAAAUUAGUACAGCCACUAUGGAAAACUGUAUGGAAGUGCCUCCGAAAACAAAGUAGAACUACCAUGUGAUCCAGCAAUUACACUAGUGGGUAUAUAUUCAAAAGAAAGGAAAUCAACAUAUUAAAGAGAUAGCUGCAUUCUCAUGUUUAUUGAAGUCCUGUUGAAAUAGCCAAAAUAUGGAAUCAACCUAAGUGCCCAUCAGUGGAUGAAUGGUUAAAGAAAAUGUGAUUGAUAUGCAAUGGAAUAUUAUUCAGCCAUAAAAAAGAAUGAAAUCCUGGCGGGGCACAGUGGCUCAUGCAAGUAAUCCCAGCACUGACCUCAUGAAGACAGAGAGUAGAUUGGUGGUUACCAGAGGUUGAGAAGGGGAGAGGAGAGGAGGGAUGAAGAGAGGUUGAUUGAUGGAUAGAAAUAUACAGUUUGAUAAUGAUAAAUCAGUAGGGUGACUAUAGUUUAUAAUAACCUAUUGUAUGGUUCAAAAUAGCUAAAAGAGAAUAAUUGAAAUAACGUAAGACAAAAAUUUAAGAUGAUAGAUAUCCCAAUUACACUGAUUUGAUCUUUACAAAUUAUAUGAAUGUAUUAAAUUAUUACAUGUAUCCCCAAAAUAUGUACAAGUAUUUUGUAUCAAUAAAAAAUAAAAUUUAAGAUAAAGUAAAUGUAAUGAUUAGCUUAUAUUUCCUAGAUCGGAAAUAAAUAUUUACUUAAGUAUGUUUAUGAUGAAGAGUUUUUUUAUAUUACUAUAAAAAUAGACACCUUACAUAAACAUAUUACAGUUGGUGUUUAGAUGGCUCUUUUUUUUCUGGCCUUGAAUUUCUGGAAAGUAGGUAUGGCCUGCUAUGUCAGGACUAGUUCUUGGAAUUCUUUGUUGUUUUUCAGUCAGCCUUAUUUUCUUGGGUCAUGUUUUGAACAAUAUUUAUCAAAUGUCUGUUUACCAGACGUUGUUCCAGAUGCUUGAACAAAAUGAAAUGUCUGCUGUCAUAGAGUUUCCAGUCUAUGUAAGACAGUAAACAAAUGUAUAAUAUAAUGCUAGAUAGUGAUAAGUGCUAAAAAGAAGAAGAAAAUAGGAAAGGGGAAAGAGAGUUUCUGUGUGAUUGUAUGUGAAAGUGUCCAUGCAUGCCGCUCACCCAGUAUUUUAAAUAGAGUGAUCAAGGAAGCCUGUCUGAAGAAGUAACAUUUGAACAGAGAUCUGAAAUAGUCAGUCACGGGAACAUUUAGGGAGAUGUUCCAGGCAGGCAUUGUGGACAAUUUAUGUCACAAAAAAGUCACCCAAGUGUUAAGUCAAGUAACAUCCUGUAUGAUAACUAUAUAUACAUUUUUUUGUUUUUUCUUAAGUGAAAAACAAACUUAUUAGGUUUUCUGGGUACUCAUUAGGUUUUCAGAAAAGUUUUUCAUUUAAUAUCAUUAU
rnacentral:lncRNA from 1 species